AAAAUUAGCUCAACCAUAGAAAUCUUUAACAAGCUGUAUCGAGUUCCUAACUCUACCAUGUGUUUGAACCAAGAAGAUUAAACUAAAAAUCUAUGUUCAACAAACUUUAAGAAAAUGAGAGGACCGCUUGAUGUACUGUAGCCUGUAUUUAACAUCAGAGCAAGCGACCAUGGGUAUUGCUUCCAUUUAAGACAUGUAGUCAUGUGCAUCAGGGUUGUCAGCUUGCCGAGGCGUUCCCUGAUCAUUUCCAAUUGUUCUCUUGCUCAUGUUAGCACGCUGAACAAGACGAACUAAUGCCUGAACCACUUCUGACAUAGGCGGUCGAAACUCU
rnacentral:misc_RNA from 1 species